GACGAACGCUGGCGGCGUGCUUAACACAUGCAAGUCGAGCGGUAAGGCCUGCUUCGGUGGGUACACGAGCGGCGAACGGGUGAGUAACACGUGGGUGACCUGCCCUUAGCUCUGGGAUAAGCCUGGGAAACUGGGUCUAAUACCGGAUAUGACCAUAUGUCGCAUGGUGUGUGGUGGAAAGCCUGGUUGUUGUGACUGGGUGGCGUGGGGAUGGGCCCGCGGCCUAUCAGCUUGUUGGUGGGGUGAUGGCCUACCAAGGCGACGACGGGUAGCCGGCCUGAGAGGGCGACCGGCCACACUGGGACUGAGACACGG
rnacentral:rRNA from 1 species